ensembl:lncRNA
AUGGCUGUUGGGUGCAUUCUCAGAGUGUCUUGGUUUUGUUUGUUGCUGUUUGGUGGCAGUCUUCCUUUUCCAUCAAUGAAGGGUGACAGAUAUACCUCCAAGACUGACCAUCCUGAAAUUGGGGGUGAUAAAGAUGACAAGCUACAAACUUCUCAUACUCUGAGGUUUGAGGCAUAUAGCCUAGCAAAAGGAUAUUCAGACCGAAGCAAAAAAGUCCCACUAGCUGCAGCUCCAAAGCAGGCACUGUUGAACCCCGAGGAAGGGGCGAGGAUCCAGGGAGGCAGAGCUGUGGAGUUUGGACAGAAAAAUGCUGAGAUUGAAGACCAGAAACUUCCUCUAAACCCUGCCAACCAGCAUGAUUACUCUUUUGAGGAGCAGAGGGGCAGCGCAAAGCCUCAGUUCCCUAAGCCUUCUACCAAACCAUCUUCAGAACUGGCAGGCUCUGACCUUAUCCCUCCUACUCCAUAUCUGUUGAUGGACGAUGGUGCAUUCAGUAGUGGUCCUACUUUGGAGUCUAAACAAGUGUCUAAAAGUGGCGGGUACUUUAAUCCUACCCAGAACCUCAACUUCCAGGCUGGUGAACAAGAGGGCUCACACUUCUAUGCGGACCAGCCAAGAAGUCGGUCCUCUGCUUCCUACAUGACCGGAGGAGGGGAGCCAGUAUUCUCCAUUAAUUCAGAUGAUGACCCCUACACCUAUGACUCUGUGAAUGCGGAACAGCCAAGCAGUUGGUCCUCUGAUCGUUACAUUACCAGAGAAGAGACGGUAUUCUCCAGUAAUGCAGGUGACUGGGCCCAGGCCGCUCUGAACAUUGGCGCACAGAUCCUGGAGGCUGAAGCAGUACCUAGUAUUGACACUAAAGGGGGUUACUCUAGCUCUUCACUGCACCUUGACCUCCCAGCUGGUGUACAAGAAGGUUCACAAAGCUAUUCCCCUAACCUUGUCGAUGAGGCUGUUUAUCAAUACCCUGCUGCUGAAGCUGCACAUCUUCCUUCAGAAGAGAGUGACCUCUCCGACUACAACUCUGUGAAUGUGGUCCAGCCAAGCACUUUGUCUUCUGCUCCCUACAUGACUAGAGAAGAGGAGCCGGUUUACGUCAGUAAUUCAGGUGACUGGGCCCAGGCUGCGCAGACCAUUAGCGAACAGCCUCUGGAGGCUGAAGCAGUACCUAGUACUGACACUAAAGGGGGUUACUCUAGCUCUUCACUGCACCUUGACCUCCCAGCUGAUGUACAAGAAGGUUCACAAAGCUAUUCCCCUAACCUUGUUGAUGAGGCUGUUUAUCAAUACCCUGCUGCUGAAACUGCACAGCUUUAUUCAGAGGGGGUUGACGCCUCCAAGUAUGACUCUAUGAACGCAGUCCAGCCAAGCACUUGGUCCUCGGCUUCCUACAUGACCAGAGAAGAGGAGCCGGUAUUCUCCAGUCAUACAGGUCACUGGGCCCAUGUUGCUCCUGUGGAAACCCCUGCCUAUCCAAGCGAUGUGGCUGAUUUCGUCUUGGACUCGACUUCAAGUAAAGCCGCUGCACAACCAGUCCUCUUCAAGCCACUGAAGAAGGCUCCUCAGCUGCCCAGCUCCAAGUGGCUUCAGAGGCCAAAGAAGGUGAGGGACCAGACUGCAUCUACCUACAUUGUCCAAUCCAAGGGCUCACACCGCCGAAGCCGCCAGAUGUUAUCCAAGAAGAAGUACUUCAGCGGUUUCCCUCCACUGCCCCCAUUCGUGCUUAUGGCUCUGAGACCGUAAGGGGAUCUUAAACAUACAGGAAGCGAGCAAGUGGCUAAAACAGAUGAAGGAACAGAACCUCUCCAAAGGUGCAGUCGAGGUGCCGCGCUUCCCUGGCAUGGAAGACAGCGAGGCUGCACAAUCCCUAGAGUAUUACAUAGAAAAUGGUGUCACCUUAAUUGCUAAAGAAAAGUAUGAAGUUAUGGAUCCUUUUCUAUUUAUGUUUGAGUAUUAUGGGGACAUGCAAUUGUUUUUUGGAAAACUUGAAAAUGAUACGACGAUUAAAGUCCAUUGGGGAUUGUUUUAACCGAAA